rnacentral:rRNA from 1 species
UACGUAGGGUGCAAGCGUUGUCCGGAAUUAUUGGGCGUAAAGAGCUCGUAGGUGGCCUGUCGCGUCGGCUGUGAAAACUCGGGGCUCAACUCCGAGCUUGCAGUCGAUACGGGCAGGCUAGAGUUCGGCAGGGGAGACUGGAAUUCCUGGUGUAGCGGUGAAAUGCGCAGAUAUCAGGAGGAACACCGGUGGCGAGGGCGGCCUGCUGGGCUAUGGCUGACACUGAGGCGCGACAGCGUGGGGAGCAAACAGG